GGAUAACUACGGGAAACUGUAGCUAAUACCGCAUAAGCAAAAGCCGAAAGGUUUUUGGAAAAGCCGGGACCGCAAGGCCGGUUGCCAAAGGAUGAGCCCAUGUCCCAUUAGCUUGUUGGCGGGGUAACGGCCCACCAAGGCGAAGAUGGGUAGCUGGUCUGAGAGGACGAUCAGCCACACUGGAACUGAGACACGGUCCAGACUCCUACGGGAGGCAGCAGUGGGGAAUAUUGCGCAAUGGGGGAAACCCUGACGCAGCAACGCCGCGUGAGUGAUGAAGGCCUUCGGGUUGUAAAGCUCUUUCGGCUGGGAAGAAGGGUGUGGGAGUUAAUAAGUCUCACAUUUGAUGGUACCAGAGUAAGAAGCACCGGCUAACUUCGUGCCAGCAGCCGCGGUAAUACGAAGGGUGCAAGCGUUGUUCGGAAUUACUGGGCGUAAAGGGUUCGUAGGCGGGAAGACAAGUCAAGUGUGAAAUCCCCAGGCUCAACCUGGGACGUGCAUUUGAGACUGUUUUUCUUGAGUUUUAGAGAGGGUGGUGGAAUUGCUGGUGUAGGAGUGACAUCCGUAGAGAUCAGCAGGAACACCGGAG
rnacentral:rRNA from 1 species